rnacentral:rRNA from 1 species
AUUGAACGCUGGCGGCAGGCCUAACACAUGCAAGUCGAACGAGUGGCGGACGGGUGAGUAAUGUUUGGGAAACUGCCCGAUGGAGGGGGAUAACUACUGGAAACGGUAGCUAAUACCGCAUACUAUCAGAUGCGCCCAGAUGGGAUUAGCUAGUGGGUGGGGUAACGGCUCACCAAGGCGACGAUCCCUAGCUGGUCUGAGAGGAUGACCAGCCACACUGGAACUGAGACACGGUCCAGACUCCUACGGGAGGCAGCAGUGGGGAAUAUUGCACAAUGGGCGAAAGCCUGAUGCAGCAAUGCCGCGUGUAUGAAGAAGGUUUUCGGGUUGUAAAGUACUUUCAGCGGGGAGGCGUUACUCGCACAAGAAGCACCGGCUAACUCCGUGCCAGCAGCCGCGGUAAUUC